rnacentral:rRNA from 1 species
AUUAGCUAGUUGGCGGGGCAACGGCCCACCAAGGCGACGAUCGGUAGCCGGCCUGAGAGGGUGAUCGGCCACAUUGGGACUUGAGAUACGGCCCAGACUCCUACGGGAGGCAGCAGUAGGGAAUAUUGCACAAUGGGGGAAACCCUGAUGCAGCAACGCCACGUGUGGGAAGAAGCAUUUCGGUGUGUAAACCACUGUCAUGAGGGAAUAAGGCCCGCUUCGGACGGGAUUGAAUGUACCUUGAGAGGAAGCACCGGCAAACUUCGUGCCAGAAGCCGCGGUAAUACGAGGGGUGCAAGCGUUGUUCGGAAUUACUGGGCGUAAAGGGAGCGUAGGCGGAGAUUCAAGCGGAUUGUACAAUCCCGGGGCCCAACCCCGGUUCUGCAGUCCGAACUGGAUCUCUUGGAUAGUUCAGGGGCAGGCGGAAUUCCUGG